rnacentral:rRNA from 1 species
GUGGGGAAUAUUGCACAAUGGGGGAAACCCUGAUGCAGCAACGCCGCGUGAGUGAUGACGGUCUUCGGAUUGUAAAGCUCUGUCUUCAGGGACGAUAAUGACGGUACCUGAGGAGGAAGCCACGGCUAACUACGUGCCAGCAGCCGCGGUAAUACGUAGGUGGCAAGCGUUGUCCGGAUUUACUGGGCGUAAAGGGAGCGUAGGUGGAUAUUUAAGUGGGAUGUGAAAUACUCGGGCUUAACCUGGGUGCUGCAUUCCAAACUGGAUAUCUAGAGUGCAGGAGAGGAAAGUAGAAUUCCUAGUGUAGCGGUGAAAUGCGUAGAGAUUAGGAAGAAUACCAGUGGCGAAGGCGACUUUCUGGACUGUAACUGACACUGAGGCUCGAAAGCGUGGGGAGCAAACAGGAUUAGAAACCCGUGUAGUCC